rnacentral:rRNA from 1 species
UACGUAGGUGGCAAGCGUUACUCGGAAUCACUAGGCGUAAAGCGCAGGUAGGCGGUUUGAUAAGUCUGUUGUGAAAGCUCCCGGCUUAACUGGGAGAGGUCAACGGAAACUGUCAGGCUAGAGUGUGGUAGAGGUAGCUGGAAUUCCCGGUGUAGCGGUGAAAUGCGCAGAUAUCAGGAGGAACACCGGUGGCGAAGGCGGAUCUCUGGGCCUUACCUGACGCUCAGGUGCGAAAGCUAGGGGGAGCGAACAGG